rnacentral:rRNA from 1 species
GACGAACGCUGGCGGCGUGCCUAAUACAUGCAAGUUGAGCGCUGAAGGUUGGUACUUGUACCGACUGGAUGAGCAGCGAACGGGUGAGUAACGCGUGGGGAAUCUGCCUUUGAGCGGGGGACAACAUUUGGAAACGAAUGCUAAUACCGCAUAAAAACUUUAAACACAAGUUUUAAGUAUGAAAGAUGCAAUUGCAUCACUCAAAGAUGAUCCCGCGUUGUAUUAGCUAGUUGGUGAGGUAAAGGCUCACCAAGGCGAUGAUACAUAGCCGACCUGAGAGGGUGAUCGGCCACAUUGGGACUGAGACACGGCCCAAACUCCUACGGGAGGCAGCAGUAGGGAAUCUUCGGCAAUGGACGAAAGUCUGACCGAGCAACGCCGCGUGAGUGAAGAAGGUUUUCGGAUCGUAAAACUCUGUUGGUAGAGAAGAACGUUGGUGAGAGUGGAAAGCUCAUCAAGUGACGGUAACUACCCAGAAAGGGACGGCUAACUACGUG